GAUGAACGCUGGCGGCGUGCCUAAUACAUGCAAGUCGAACGCACAGCGAAAGGUGGUUGCACCUUUCAAGUGAGUGGCGAACGGGAGAGUAACACGUGGACAACCUGCCUCACGGCUGGGGAUAACAAUUGGAAACAGAUGCUAAUACCGAAUAACACUUAGUGUCGCAUGACACAAAGUUAUAAUGCGCUUUGGCGUACCCGAGAGAUGGAUCCGCGGUGCAUUAGUAAGUUAGUGGGGUAAAGGCCUACCAAGACAAUGAUGCAUAGCCGAGUUGAGGGAAUGAUCGGCCACAUUGGGACUGAGACACAGCCCAAACUCCUACGGGAGGCUGCAGUAGGAAAUCUUCCACAAUGGGAGAAAGCCUGAUGGAGCAACGCCGCGUGUGUGAUGAAGGCUUUCGGGUCGUAAAGCACUGUUGUAUGGGAAGAACAGCUAGAAUAGGGAAUGAUUUUAGUUUGACGGUACCAUACCAGAAAGGGACGGCUAAAUACGUGCCAGCCGCCGCGGUAA
rnacentral:rRNA from 1 species